UUGUUGUUUUUUGUUUAUCAUAUUCUUAUCUUACAGCUCAUGAGUAGUUAGAGUUUAAGUUCCGUUUUGCAUAAGCCUAAUUUUGGAACAUCUGAAUGGGUGGCUAAAAAGCACACUUAGUGUGGUAAGUGAGUCAGUGCUUGGUUUUUCUCUCUCAUCUCACUCACAUCACAUGGGCUCGCUAUAUAUAAUGCGGGUUAGGGUUUUGAAGGGUGUUGUGUUGAGAUGGGUUGGUAUUGAGGGGAAUGUUGGCUGGCUCGAGGCUUUUCACAAAGGAGGUUCACAGUGGAUGGAACUAUAAGGCUUCGGACCAGGCUUCAUUCCCCUCAAAAGUACUUCCUUCAUUUGUUUAUACUUCAAACUUCAAACCACAAGAUCAUAGGUGUAGCUACGUACCUAGCUAGCUUCUCUCUUUAUUUUGAAGGAUCUCUCUACACACACGUCAUGUGUGUGGUUGAGAACUUGAGAUGUUUCCUUGCAAAGGUGAGGUUGAGAGGAAUGUUGUCUGGCUCGAGGUCAUGGAGGAAGAGGAGAGUACUGAGAUCAGUGAAAGUUUCCAAUGGAAAUUUACCCUCUUAACACACACACAGAAAAAAUGAUUCUCGGACCAGGCUUCAUUCCCCCCACCCAACUUUUGUUUUCUAUUCCUUUCAGUUUCUUUCUCUCCAUUUUCAUAUCUUUCUUGCAUGCCCUUAUGGUAAGGCUUUCUCUUCCUUUCAUCUUUCUCUCAAUUUGCACACACACACAACAACAACAACAAAAAAGCUCUUUUUACAGUUUGUUUUUGCAGGGUCAGAAUUUUCAACUCACUGGUGGCAAUCUUGUUUUGUAAAGGUUGUAUUUUCAUUACCUUCGUUUAUAUUACGCGUGUGAAUAUGCUACCUUCUCCCAAAUCCCAAGCUAGAACUUUAGUGAUGAAUGAAUCAAUUUGUUUACAUAUGUGUGUGUGGCUAAAAUAGAGAAAAUUGAAAAGUUUUAGUUUUCAUCAUUAAUUUGAAGGCACUUCUAUGAAGAAUUAGUCCAUGCUUGAAAAUCUAUUAAUUUUUGGAUGUAAUAAUAUUUUUUAAACAAACGGUUAUCUUUUCAAAAUGACUUCUAGCUUCUUUGUGUUUCCCUAUUUUUCUCUCUCAUACAUUCACUCAAGAGAGAGAGAGAAGCAUGUUCACCGGCACAAAGCAAAUCUGUCUAGUUUUCUGGUGUCGUAUUAAUUUAAGAUUAAGAUUUUAGGGAGAUAAGAUACCUAUGAAAAUAUAUUAUUAACAAAUAAGUUGGCUAAUCACAGGCCCUCAGACCUGCGGGAAUGUUUAUUUCACGUGGACAAGAAAGCUGAAUGAAAGCAUCAAUAGUGAAAACCUAUCAUAUGUGAAAUUCUUUUCUUUAUCUGCAACUAGCUGCUAUGCCUCUUAGGUCUUUCUAACAUCCCUCUUCUAAAGUCCUUUCAGCUUUGAAUAAUGUUUCAGCUUUCUGUCAAUUAACCUGUUUUCAGGCCGGUGAAAAUUAUAGGGAAGCCAACUUCAUAAUUUUACUUGGGAAAAAGACUUGCCAUCAUUUUCAUCAACAUCUGAAAGAAUGUACUUCAGGUUUCGAAACAUGAUGCACUGUUGAAUUUAUUGUAGUUUUGUUGUGUAGUGAAAUGACAGUGAUGAGUGUUGAAGGCAUGCACUCACUAGAUGCUGAAGUUGCUGAUGCAUAUACAUGUGAAAGAGAAAUGAAAUAAGAGAUGUGCUGGAACAGUUAACGAGAAGAAGUGAGAAUCAGGAGAAGCUAGCUAGGGAUUAUGAUCUAUGUGUCUGUCUAUGUCGCUCUUGCUAGCUAGAGAAACAGAUACUAUAUGAUUAUGAUCUAUGAUCACACCAUGUCAUUGCCAGCUUCCAUUAUCAUGACGACUCAGAUGUGUGCAUCUAGCUGCAUGCAUAAUUAAACCUGGAAAAAGAGAAAGAGAAAAGUAGAGCUUCUCUUCUUCUAUUCUAUUAUUAUUAUUAUUAUGUGUCUGAUAUGUGUGUUUUAGUGUAAUGUAUUUAUGGAGCUUCUAAAGUUGUUGAAAAUGCAGAAACCAUCUCUGGAAAAGUUGGAUAAGCAAUAUCAGCUUCAUAUGCUGCCUUUUUGUGGAGUCAUAGUAGAAAUAGUAAUAGUGAGAUGAGAUCUUUUAGCAUUUGAAAUUGAAAAGCAUUGUAGGGAGAGAGAGAGAGAGUAAAUAAAUGUAUAGAGUAUCUGGUGUUUCUUGGGAAAUGAAACUGAGAGAAAGACACAGCUACUUGGGCAUCGUUUCAUGACAACCUUGGUCUCUUUAAAGAAGUGAAACAAUUGCACUCCUUUAUUGUUGACA